GACGAGCGGCGGACGGGUGAGUAAUACUUAGGAAUCUACCUAGUAGUGGGGGAUAGCUCGGGGAAACUCGAAUUAAUACCGCAUACGACCUACGGGAGAAAGGGGGCAACUUGUUGCUCUCGCUAUUAGAUGAGCCUAAGUCGGAUUAGCUAGAUGGUGGGGUAAAGGCCUACCAUGGCGACGAUCUGUAGCUGGUCUGAGAGGAUGAUCAGCCACACCGGGACUGAGACACGGCCCGGACUCCUACGGGAGGCAGCAGUGGGGAAUAUUGGACAAUGGGGGAAACCCUGAUCCAGCCAUGCCGCGUGUGUGAAGAAGGCCUUUUGGUUGUAAAGCACUUUAAGCAGUGAAGAAGACUCCAUGGUUAAUACCCACGGACGAUGACAUUAGCUGCAGAAUAAGCACCGGCUAACUCUGUGCCAGCAGCCGCGGUAAUACAGAGGGUGCAAGCGUUAAUCGGAAUUACUGGGCGUAAAGGGAGCGUAGGUGGCUCGAUAAGUCAGAUGUGAAAUCCCCGGGCUCAACCUGGGAACUGCAUCUGAUACUGUUGAGCUAGAGUAUGUGAGAGGAAGGUAGAAUUCCAGGUGUAGCGGUGAAAUGCGUAGAGAUCUGGAGGAAUACCGAUGGCGAAGGCAGCCUUCUGGCAUAAUACUGACACUGAGGCUCGAAAGCGUGGGUAGCAAACAGGAUUAGAUACCCUGGUAGUCCACGCCGUAAACGAUGUCUACUAGUCGUUGGGUCCCUUGAGGACUUAGUGACGCAGCUAACGCAAUAAGUAGACCGCCUGGGGAGUACGGCCGCAAGGUUAAAACUCAAAUGAAUUGACGGGGGCCCGCACAAGCGGUGGAGCAUGUGGUUUAAUUCGAUGCAACGCGAAGAACCUUACCUGGUCUUGACAUAUCUAGAAUCCUGCAGAGAUGCGGGAGUGCCUUCGGGAAUUAGAAUACAGGUGCUGCAUGGCUGUCGUCAGCUCGUGUCGUGAGAUGUUGGGUUAAGUCCCGCAACGAGCGCAACCCUUGUCCUUAGUUACCAGCGGGUUAAGCCGGGAACUCUAAGGAUACUGCCAGUGACAAACUGGAGGAAGGCGGGGACGACGUCAAGUCAUCAUGGCCCUUACGACCAGGGCUACACACGUGCUACAAUGGUAGGUACAGAGGGCAGCUACACAGCGAUGUGAUGCGAAUCUCAAAAAGCCUAUCGUAGUCCGGAUUGGAGUCUGCAAC
rnacentral:rRNA from 1 species